CGGACGGGUGAGUAAUGUCUGGGAAACUGCCCAUGGAGGGGGAGUAACUACUGGAAACGGUAGCUAAUACCGCAUAACGUCGCAAGACCAAAGAGGGGACCUUCGGGCCUCUUGCCAUCGGAUGUGCCCAGAUGGGAUUAGCUAGUAGGUGGGGUAACGGCUCACCUAGGCGACGAUCCCUAGCUGGUCUGAGAGGAUGACCAGCCACACUGGAACUGAGACACGGUCCAG
rnacentral:rRNA from 1 species